ACCAGGAGAGGAGAGAUUGGUGGAGGAGCUUGACCUCCCAUUAGUUGGUGCUUGAGAGUGAGUUGAGAGUGUGUUUGUAGAGUUUGUACAUUCUAGUUGCUGUUUUGUUUUUAUUUUUUGUACAUUUUAGUCUUGUUGAGUCAGUCUUUUAUUUUGAGUCAGUUUUACGCCUGGGUUUGUUUGUUCUAUGAUGUGCAGGUUUAUUUGACCCACCCGUACUCAAUCUCCAUUCGGGUGGUAAUUUUGGAGCUGUAAUCUUUUUGUAAAGGCAACCCAAGUGUACCAGUUUGUCAGAGAUGAUCGCGAAUGGAAUGCUAUACGAUCAUGUUUGGUUGGAAUGAAAACACGCACAGCUGGCACUGAUUUUUAUCCUAACCAGCUAAGUCUUUUCCAAUUCUUGUUUUUUCCAUCCACAUUGAGGACAAUGUGAGAUUUAAGUGUGGGGAUGGGAGACUACGUCUUUUUAGGUAGAUUUGAGUCGAAAAAA
rnacentral:lncRNA from 1 species